rnacentral:rRNA from 1 species
GACGAACGCUGGCGGCGUGCCUAAUACAUGCAAGUAGAACGCUGAAGAGAGGAGCUUGCUCUUCUUAGAUGAGUUGCGAACGGGUGAGUAACGCGUAGGUAACCUGCCUUGUAGCGGGGGAUAGCUAUUGGAAACGAUAGCUAAUACCGCAUAACAAUGGAUGACACAUGUCAUUUAUUUGAAAGGGGCAAUUGCUCCACUACAAGAUGGACCUGCGUUGUAUUAGCUAGUAGGUGAGGUAAUGGCUCACCUAGGCGACGAUACAUAGCCGACCUGAGAGGGUGAUCGGCCACACUGGGACUGAGACACGGCCCAGACUCCUACGGGAGGCAGCAGUAGGGAAUCUUCGGCAAUGGGGGCAACCCUGACCGAGCAACGCCGCGUGAGUGAAGAAGGUUGUCGGAUCGUAAAGCUCUGUUGUAAGUCAAGAACGGGUGUGAGAGUGGAAAGUUCACACUGUGACGGUAGCUUACCAGAAAGGGACGGCUAACUACGUG